UUUUNGAGUUUUGAUCCUGGCUCAGGAUGAACGCUGGCGGUCUGCUUAACACAUGCAAGUCGAACGGAAUCCUUAGGGAUUUAGUGGCGGACGGGUGAGUAACACGUAAGAACCUGCCUCUAGGACGGGGACAACAGUUGGAAACGACUGCUAAACCCGGAUGAGCCGAAAGGUAAAAGAUUAAUCGCCUAGAGAGGGGCUUGCGUCUGAUUAGCUAGUUGGUGAGGUAAGAGCCCACCAAGGCGACGAUCAGUAGCUGGUCUGAGAGGAUGAUCAGCCACACUGGGACUGAGACACGGCCCAGACUCCUACGGGAGGCAGCAGUGGGGAAUUUUCCGCAAUGGGCGAAAGCUGACGGAGCAAGACCGCGUGGGGGAGGAAGGUUCUUGGAUUGUCAACCCCUUUUCUCAGGGAAGAACACAAUGACGGUACCUGAGGAAAAAGCAUCGGCUAACUCCGUGCCAGCAGCCGCGGUAAUACGGGGGAUGCAAGCGUUAUCCGGAAUGAUUGGGCGUAAAGAGUCCGUAGGUAGUCAUCCAAGUCUGCUGUUAAAGAGCGAGGCUUAACCUCGUAAAGGCAGUGGAAACUGGAAGACUAGAGUGUAGUAGGGGCAGAGGGAAUUCCUGGUGUAGCGGUGAAAUGCGUAGAGAUCAGGAAGAACACCGGUGGCGAAGGCGCUCUGCUGGGCUAUAACUGACACUGAGGGACGAAAGCUAGGGGAGCGAAUGGGAUUAGAUACCCCAGUAGUCCUAGCGGUAAACGAUGGAAACUAGGUGUGGCCUGUAUCGACCCGAGCC
rnacentral:rRNA from 1 species